CAUCUCUAUCAGUCCAAGCUUCUCAAUUUUUUGGAGUUAAGUCCAAUUAUAUUUAUUUUACUGAUGAUUUUUAUGAACAAUACAGUAGCUAUGAAGAAGAGAUGGCUUGGACAUGGAAAAGAUGAAUAAAAAGUCGGUAAAAGUGCGAAGAAUUGACUUCGAUUCUCAAUUUUUCUCUUCAAUCUCCUUCACGAAAGCCCAAGUACUUGACUUUAUAAGAAGGCAGAAAAGCCUUUUGCAGCUUACUAUCGAU
rnacentral:lncRNA from 1 species